GAUGAACGCUGGCGGCGUGCCUAAUACAUGCAAGUCGAGCGAACGGACGAGAAGCUUGCUUCUCUGAUGUUAGCGGCGGACGGGUGAGUAACACGUGGAUAACCUACCUAUAAGACUGGGAUAACUUCGGGAAACCGGAGCUAAUACCGGAUGAUAUUUUGAACCGCAUGGUUCAAAAGUGAAAGACGGUCUUGCUGUCACUUAUAGAUGGAUCCGCGCUGCAUUAGCUAGUUGGUAAGGUAACGGCUUACUAAGGCAACGAUGCAUAGCCGACCUGAGAGGGUGAUCGGCCACACUGGAACUGAGACACGGUCCAGACUCCUACGGGAGGCAGCAGUAGGGAAUCUUCCGCAAUGGGCGAAAGCCUGACGGAGCAACGCCGCGUGAGUGAUGAAGGUCUUCGGAUCGUAAAACUCUGUUAUUAGGGAAGAACAUAUGUGUAAGUAACUGUGCACAUCUUGACGGUACCUAAUCAGAAAGCCACGGCUAACUACGUG
rnacentral:rRNA from 1 species